GUUGAUGUUGUGGUUUUGUAAAUUUGGAGUGCUUAUGGACGGUCAAGUGCUGUUUAGAUUAAACGCCGGCAGUACUUAACAUAAUUCAUAAGCUAGAUUUAAAUGUAGCCGCUCGUCUUUCGUGCUUAAUCUGGUUUUUAAUAUUAGGUUUUGGCAAUCCAUGUUGUGGCUUACAUUUGUUUUAUUGUGUGAUAUUCACUUAUUAGAAAAGGGUGCAAGUGUUUUUCUUUCGCUAAAUUACGCUAAAUUAAGCUUGGCAACACAUUGAAGAUAUUUUUCUAAGGGGACUAGGGGUGGUUCACUAGUGAUAGAAUCUAUCACUUCUACUAUCCAAUCAAGUCAUGUCAUGUGCACAACCAAUAUUCUAUCACUAGUGAUAGAAAUGUAGAGGGGGUGGUAUCACUAGUGACGGUAGCACAAUCUUUUUUAUUUAUUCCAUCAGUGUACAACUCCUCAGCACUAGAGUACAACCCAUCAUACACAGUUCCAAAAUUCAACGGGUGACCACCAUAACGCGUUAACUCUUCCACGCGUGGUGGAUUGAGUGGCGGCCGUGUAUAACGGCGUGGUGGAAUUCUAUCACGGAAAAAAAAGCCCACCCCGGGUCCUCUAAGGCCGAAUCUGUGACUGACGUUGUAUUGGGGUUGUGUUGGUGUAUGUCGUGUAACAUACCUGGUGAGGCCUUACGAGUUGGCCCAUUAACCCAGUUGACUAAAAUAAAAAGGUGAAACAUUUUUGACCGACUAAAAUGACAUUAACACUUAAUUUAUUUGACAAUGAAAAUUAAUACAACUUAGUUUCAAGUAUAGAAGAAAAAACAAUGUAUUUAUAUGUAGGGGUUGGUUACGGUAUAAACCAUACUUAUUCUACAAACUGUAAUAACAGAUCUUUGCACUUAAAAAUACAUAAAAGUAGCACUUUUGAAUGAUAUUAGCACUUUUCUUUACUAGCGCAUUGAAAAUAAAAAGAAGAUUCAGAUAAAGAAUUGAUUGCUUGUUAGCAUAAUUACAAGGAAUUCAAUAUAAUUGAUAUUGUUUAGGUUAUUAUUUUGCCAUAACACUAUAACUGGUUUGAUGGCACAUGUCACUUUUUAAAUGGUUCUUACAGUUUGUAUACGAAAUGUGGUUUGUAUUUGAUCAUACUCCUUUAUAUGUAUUAUAUAUGUUUUGUUACUUUUAUACAUGAAUUAAAUAAAGGAGUAUUUAUAUAAAAAACUAUUAUUAUCCCAAAAUAAUAGCUAAGAAUUGUGUUGUUUUUUUAAGGGUUAUUGGACCCUAACUAUUGCCUAUUCGUUGUUGUCACUCCCAGCUAUCACUUUGACGUUCGUCACCUCCAAAUUAACACUUGGUGUGUUUUGUCACCACGUCAUUACCUGAUCAUUAACUUUUGAUCUUGGUACUAUACUUUUGGGGUGUGUCAUAGGGAUCUUAGGAAUGUUUUAGGGAUCUUAGGACAUCCAAAAAGUAUAGUAACAAGAUCAAAAGUUAGUGAUUACUUAACGAUGUGGUGACAGAAUACACCAAGUGUUAAGUUGGGGUUGACGGGCGUCAAAGUGAUAGUUGAGGGUGGUGGCGGCCAAUAACCAAUAAUUGGGGGUGAUAAAAUCCAAUAACCCUUUUUUUAAUGAUAAGUUCCAUUAGACAAUGUGUAGUGGGGCGCUAUGCACCCACAUAAAGCCCCUAUAAAGCCCCAAACACCAUUACGAAGGACUUUAUGAGACAAAAAAAUGGGGGAGGCGCGAUAUAUAUAGCGCCAGGUAUGGGGGGAGGUUUCAAAGUUUGGACCAAUAAAAAAUUAGUUAGUGUUUUUAUAAUUAAUUAAUAAAAACGAAAAUUAAUAAUUAGGUAUUAAUGGGUAGGGGCUUUAUGCUACGGGCUCUACUCUCUAGUGAUAUAACGCCCUAUAAAGCCCUCUGUGUGACGUGGCACGACAUGUGUCGCAUAAUGCCCCACAAAGGGCUUUGUGACUACGGAUGACCUUAGUAGCACUUUUUUUUAAAUACUAAUUUACAUUACUUCAAAUUUACAUCGAGAUAGUUGGUAAAAGGGCAACGGGCUGUGCCGCUACAAAAAUAAAUAAUAAACGUAUAUACGCGUUGAAAAUAAAAGCUAAACACAUAACGUAUUUGACAAAAAAAAACGUAUAUAAACAUUGAAAAUAAAUCUAAACACAGCAAGUAUACAAUGUCAUCCCUACAACGAUUUUUUUUAAAUACUAAUUCUAUCUUGUUUUGUUUUGUUUAUGAGAUCCACAUUUGCAGAUUGCAACAACAGACUCUAAUGAAAAACACUAAUAUAAAUUAAGAAACUAUGGCUGCUAAUAGGCAUACGUAAAUAACAAGACCGGUUCAACAAAUAAGUCUUAAUUCUCUAUACAACAGCUUG
rnacentral:lncRNA from 1 species